GUCGCGCUCACUACGGCGUGCCCACGUACCUGGCCGUCCUUCGCGAGAUCCACUUACCAAAAAUGGACCACACGGCCGACUUUGACGAAGACAAUCUAAAUAUUGUUGUGGGAUGAAAAAAAUCCGAGGUCGAUUACGGGCAGUGUCCACGCUGUCCCCUGCUCAUCUAUUCUGUUUGUACUCAACGACACGACUCCCGAAAGAAAAUGAAUUUAUUGAAUUGUUACCAUGUAUAAUAUGUAAGCGCUCAUUCCGCCCAACCUUAUUACAACGUCACUCAGCUAUAUGUGAAAAAAACGCAAAAAAGCGCAAAGUACCAUUUGAUUCAUCUAAACAACGUAGACAAGGCACUGAUAUGGCUGCAUACUUGCCAAGUAUUAAAAAUACGCCUGAUGUAAAUACUGCUAUACAUAAGACUAAGAAUAACUGGAAAGCUAAACACGAAGAACUUGUUAGAGCUGUGAAAGCUGCAAGAGGUGAAAAAGUUGAUAAACUUAUUCCAACCAAGCCUGUUGAUACUGAAGCAUGUCCACAUUGUUCUCGUAAUUUCGGACCAAAAUCAUAUGAUAGGCAUGUUGAGUUUUGUAAAGAAAAAGCUCAAAGGAUAUCUACUGCACCAGUGAUAAGCCAAAUAGCUAAAGAACGACUUGAAGCUAGAACUAAAUACCGUGCACCUCCACUCAAAUCACAGCGUACUGUUACUAAAGAAAAAUAUUCUCCGAAAACUAAAUGUUCUUCACAAGAUGUUUCAAGUGUUCCAAUAAAAGUAAUACAACCAUUGAAAGUUGUUAAAAAAAUAUCCCCUCCUACAAAUAGUAAUGUUUCUAUUAUUCCUCGCCAAUCUUCAUUAUUGAAAAAGAAAGACCCAGUAUCAAAAUAUUCUUUUGGGAAUAAAAAUACAAUUUAUCAACCCAAAACAACAUCUGGUAUAAAAAAAGAAACAAUUAUGAAGAAAUCUGAAUCAGCCCAUAUCAUCAGUUCUCAAAAUCGAGUAAAAGAAGAAACUAUUAAUACUAUCAAUCGUUUUGAUAAAAAAAAUUUAUCAAAGUCCCAACCACAUUUAGAUGCAUAUGACCCAUUCAAAUCAGCUGAAAAACAAAUGAAAGAACUUGAACUAGAAAUAAUUGACAUUGGUCUUAAAAACCCAUUGAAUUUCUCACAAACAGAAAAUACGGAAAACGUACAAAUUUCUCCAACAUCUGCUUUUGUCAAGUAUUCACCAAACUCUCCUGUAGUUGUGUCUCCGGAUAAUGUUGAUCACCCAAUUUCUAAUGAAUUUAAUUUAGAUUCUAAUCUCAAUAGCCAUCCACUACAUAAUUUAAGCAAUUUAAGCUUAUGUUCCAUAGUCAGUAUUGAAUCGGCUGACUUCAAUAAUAAAACUCACAGUGCUGUAGUGCAAGGUACAGAACUUUCAAUUAGUCCAACUAAAAGAACUAUUUCUCAUAACCCUAGGAAACAUAUAGCUAUUGAAAACAUGCUAUACGGUGAUUCUGAGAAAAAUAAAUCAAACAUCAAAUUUCACUUGGCUGAACAAGAACUUUUGAAAUCAGUAUCGGAAUUUGAAAACUUGUUGAAACUAACUGAUGAUGAUGAUAUUGUAUCACCAUCAUUGAAUAGAACAUCUGCAUUAAGUAUGAUCAAUGGGGUUAAUUCCAAUAGCAGUUCUGAUUCAGCUUACGGAAGGUAAGGCGAGCGAUCCAUGGCGCUUCAAUUGUCACGGGGCACUUGCACGGUUUGAUCAGGUUUCAUGUGGAAUCUGACACUUUCUGAUUUUAAACAAAAUCAGCCUAACACGGCUUGAACAGAAAAUCGGAACAAAUGUCAACUGAAAGUUAUUCAACACUUAUGAAAAAUGCUAAAUUUUGUCAUGAGUGUGGAUUUAAAU
rnacentral:misc_RNA from 1 species